GAUGAAGAACGCAGUGAAAUGCGAUAAGUAAUGUGAAUUGCAGAAUUCAGUGAAUCAUCGAAUCUUUGAACGCACAUUGCGCCCGCUAGUAUUCUGGCGGGCAUGCCUGUUCGAGCGUCAUUUCAACCCUCAAGCCCCCGGGCUUGGUGUUGGGGAUCGGCGAGCCUCCGCGCCCGCCGUCCCCUAAAUCUAGUGGCGGUCUCGCUGUAGCUUCCUCUGCGUAGUAGCACACCUCGCACUGGGAAACAGCGCGGCCACGCCGUUAAACCCCCAACUUCUGAACGUUUGACCUCGGAUCAGGUAGGAAUACCCGCUGAACUUAAGCAUAUCAAUAAGCGGAGGA
rnacentral:misc_RNA from 1 species